GUAUGGUCUAUUAGCUCAGUCGGUAGAGCACCUGACUUUUAAUCAGGGUGUCCCGCGUUCGAGUCGCGGAUAGAUCACCAAUGGAGAGGUGUCCGAGUGGUUUAAGGAGCUGGUCUUGAAAACCAGUGACUUCGAAAGGGGCCGUGGGUUCGAAUCCCACCCUCUCCGCCAAAUGCCCAGAUAGCUCAGUCGGUAGAGCAGGGGACUGAAAAUCCCCGUGUCGGUGGUUCGAUUCCGGUCUUCGGCACUUAUAAAACAAUAUCGCGGNCAAUUAAAUAUGCGGGUGUAGCUCAAUGGUAGAGUUCUGGCCUUCCAAGCCAGCUGUGAGGGUUCGAUCCCCUUCACCCGCUCCAAAAAUGGGACCAUAGCUCAGCUGGGAGAGCACCUGCCUUACAAGCAGGGGGUCACAGGUUCGAGCCCUGUUGGUCCCACCAUUUGCGGCCUGGUAGUUCAGUUGGUUAGAAUGCCAGCCUGUCACGCUGGAGGUCGAGGGUUCGAGCCCCUUCCAGGUCGCCAAAAUAAAAAUGCUGGUGUGGCUCAACGGUAGAGCAGCUGACUUGUAAUCAGCAGGUUGUAGGUUCGAUUCCUAUCACCAGCUCCAUGUAAAACUAAUACGGAGGAUUUCCCGAGCGGCCAAAGGGGGCAGACUGUAAAUCUGUUGUCAUCGACUUCGGUGGUUCGAAUCCACCAUCCUCCACCAAUUAAAUAUGCGGGUGUAGCUCAAUGGUAGAGUUCUGGCCUUCCAAGCCAGCUGUGAGGGUUCGAUCCCCUUCACCCGCUCCAAAGAAAGCGUGGGUGCAUAGCUCAGCUGGAUAGAGCAACGCCCUUCUAAGGCGUGUGUCCGGGGUUCGAAUCCCUGUGCGCUCACCACAUAUAUAUUGGGGAUUAGCCAAGUCGGUAAGGCACAUGACUUUGACUCAUGUAUGCGUAGGUUCGAGUCCUGCAUCCCCAGCCAAACAGUAUGGUCUAUUAGCUCAGUCGGUAGAGCACCUGACUUUUAAUCAGGGUGUCCCGCGUUCGAGUCGCGGAUAGAUCACCAAUGGAGAGGUGUCCGAGUGGUUUAAGGAGCUGGUCUUGAAAACCAGUGACUUCGAAAGGGGCCGUGGGUUCGAAUCCCACCCUCUCCGCCAAAUGCCCAGAUAGCUCAGUCGGUAGAGCAGGGGACUGAAAAUCCCCGUGUCGGUGGUUCGAUUCCGCCUCUGGGCACCAAAAUNUGGCGGUAUAGCUUAGUUGGCUAGAGCGUUCGGUUCAUACCCGAAAGGUCAUAGGUUCGACUCCUAUUACCGCUACUAAAAUUUAAUGUGGGCCAUUAGCUCAGUUGGUUAGAGCGCCCGGCUCAUAACCGGUAGGUCUGGGGUUCGAGUCCCUGAUGGCCCACCACAUUAAAUUAAUUAAUAUAAAUUCGAGGUGUAGCGCAGUUUGGUAGCGCACAUGGUUUGGGACCAUGGGGCCGGGGGUUCGAGUCCCUUCACCUCGACCAAUAUAAGGUGGGUAUAGCUCAGUUGGUUAGAGCGCCAGAUUGUGGCUCUGGAGGUCGUGAGUUCGACUCUCAUUAUCCACCCCAACUUAUAUGGUCUAUUAGCUCAGUCGGUAGAGCACCUGACUUUUAAUCAGGGUGUCCCGCGUUCGAGUCGCGGAUAGAUCACCAAAAAGGUGGCGACAUAGCCAAGUGGUAAGGCAGUGGACUGCAACUCCUUGAUCCCCAGUUCGAAUCUGGGUGUCGCCUCCAANGAUGUGAUGGGGAGCGAAAUUUAGUAGCGAAGUAGCUGAUUUCACACUGUCAAGAAAAGUCUCUAUCGAGGUUAAAGGUACCCGUACCGCAAACCGACACAGGUGGGUGAGGAGAGUAUCCUAAGGCCAGCGAGAGAACUGUUGUUAAGGAACUCGGCAAAAUGACCCCGUAACUUAGGGAUAAGGGGUGCCACCAUCAGGUGGCCGCAGAGAAUAGGCCCAAGCGACUGUUUACCAAAAACAUAGGUUUCUGCUAAGUCGCAAGACGAUGUAUAGGAGCUGACGCCUGCCCGGUGCUGGAAGGUUAAGGGGAUCUGUUAGAGCAAUCGAAGCAGUGAACUUAAGCCCCAGUAAACGGCGGCCGUAACUAUAACGGUCCUAAGGUAGCGAAAUUCCUUGUCGGGUAAGUUCCGACCCGCACGAAAGGCGUAACGAUUUGGGCACUGUCUCAACAACAGACUCGGUGAAAUUGUAAUUCCGGUGAAGAUGCCGGAUACCUGCGACAGGACGGAAAGACCCCAUGGAGCUUUACUGUAGCUUGACAUUGGGUCUUGGUACUACAUGUACAGGAUAGGUGGGAGGCUUUGAAACCAGGACGCCAGUUUUGGCGGAGCCAUCCUUGGGAUACCACCCUUGUAGUACUGGGACUCUAACCAUAGGCCAUGAAUCUGGUCUUGGGACACUGUCAGGUGGGCAGUUUGACUGGGGCGGUCGCCUCCCAAAAGGUAACGGAGGCGCUCAAAGGUUCUCUCAGUACGGUCGGAAAUCGUACGUAGAGUGUAAAGGCAAAAGAGAGCUUGAUUGCAAGACAUACAGGUCGAGCAAGGAUGAAAAUCGGACUUAGUGAUCCGGUGGUUCUGCGUGGAAGGGCCAUCGCUCAACGGAUAAAAGCUACCCUGGGGAUAACAGGCUUAUCUCCCCCAAGAGUCCACAUCGACGGGGAGGUUUGGCACCUCGAUGUCGGCUCAUCACAUCCUGGGGCUGUAGUAGGUCCCAAGGGUUGGGCUGUUCGCCCAUUAAAGUGGUACGCGAGCUGGGUUCAGAACGUCGUGAGACAGUUCGGUCCCUAUCCGUCGCAGGCGUAGGAAAUUUGAGAAGACCUGUCCUUAGUACGAGAGGACCGGGAUGGACGUACCUCUGGUGUACCAGUUGUCCUGCCAAGGGCAUGGCUGGGUAGCUAUGUACGGAAUGGAUAAGCGCUGAAAGCAUCUAAGCGCGAAGCCAACUUCAAGAUAAGAUUUCCCACCGCAAGGGUAAGACCCCAGAAAGACUAUCUGGUUGAUAGGUCGAAGGUGUAAGUGCAGUAAUGUAUUUAGCUUAUCGAUACUAAUAGGUCGAGGACUUGACCAA
rnacentral:rRNA from 1 species